UUUCAAAGUAUUUUACCGGCUGGCAUUUUUGGGGUGCCCGCUGAGAGUCAGGCUUUAUGUUAAGAACCCCACGUAAUCCCUACAGUCACCUGGUGAGGGGGACACCACCACGCCCAUUUCGCGGAUGGGGAAACUGAGGUGAGGGGAUGUGCAGUACUGUGUGAGUCACAUCACCUGGAAAGGGCCAGGCUGGGAUGGAGAUCUAUGUGGGUUCCGCUCCAAGGCCAGGAUCAGCCGCCUCAACAAACCCUCGCCUGUCUGCCCUUGACCGCAGUCACAGCCCUGGGGAGACUACCAGGCCAGGUAGUGGGCAGUGUGGACCUGUGCUCAGAGGGCCUCCUUCUCUGGCCUCCUCGGUUAAAGAGGAUUUUUGUUUGUUUGUCUUUUUUAGGGCUGCACCGCAGCACAUGGAGGUUCCCAGGCUAGGGGUCUAAUCGGAACUGUAGCUGCUGGUCUACACCCCAGCCCCAGCAACGCCGGAUCCGAGCCACAUCUGCAACCCACACUGCAGCUCACGGCAACAUGGGAUCCUUAACCCACUGAGUGGGGCCAGGGAUCGAACCUGCAUCCUCAUGGAUACUAGUGGAGUUCUUAACCCACUGAGCCACACGAGAACUCCUCAGGACAUUGAAUUUUAGUUUGCUUGUUGUGCAGUGGGUCACUUUUCUCUGUGAUCCAUUAUAAAAAAAGUUUGUUCUCUUUGGAAAGAAACAGAAGUUAUCUAAGGAGGAAAAUAAAGCUCCUACUAAAAAAAAAAAAUCACCCCAGGAGUUCCCGUCGUGGCUCAGCAGUUAGAGAACCCGACUGGCAUCGAACCUGAGGACGCAGGUUCGAUCCCUGGCCUUGCUCAGUGAGUUAAGGAUCUGGCAUUGCCAUGAGCUGUGGUAUAGGUCAUAGACAAGUCUCUGAUCCCGAGUUGCUGUGGCUGUGGUGUAGGCUGGUGGCUACAGCUCCGACUGGACUCCUAGCCUGGGAACUUCCGUAUGCCACAGGUGCAGCCCUAAAAGACAAAAAGACAAAAAAAAAAAAGUCACACCAGCAGUUUAAGGAUCUGGCAUUGUCACUGCAGUAACUCGGAUUGCUGCUGUGGUGCUGUGGGUUCGAUCCCUGGCAUGGGAACUUCCACAUGCUUCUUGAGAGGCAGAGAAAACCAAACAACACAACAACAAAAGACCCCAUUACAUUCGUAGACUGAGUCCCCCCCCAGGUUCUUCAAAAAUAAAGCAGAGAGAUGCAGCCUAGUUUAAUUUUUCCCUAAAGGACCACUCCUUAGGUAAAUGAUACCUUUCUCUAGCCUUUAACUAGAUUCAUUGAGAUUUAACCGUGAACUCCUGGUAGGUCAAAUCCACUAAAAAUGCACUUUGAUGGUCUCUCAGAUGAUUCUCCUCCUGCCUUGAAUUCCUGGCACUUUUUAGUCCAAUGAUGGCCUCUUCUUCCCACUGGGAAGAUCCUUGGUGGGGCUCAGGCACCAAAGUAUUUUUGGAAGCUCUGACGAUUGGCAUGUGAAGUGGGGUUUAAGAAACGCUGGCCGGGGGAAUGUCCACCCAGGAAACCCCUGAUUCUUUCCCCCUCACCUGUAUGGCACAGUGAAGUUAUCAUUCCUGAUGGAUUUUACAAAGGAACCAGUGGCUUUCAAAUACCUUUUUGUAAGCCAUGGAACUCUUUAUUUUAACAGAUCUGCAUAUAAAGAUCAAACAGGAGGGGAGAUGCUCUGAAUAUAGCUAUGAGGGCCUUGACCCCCAAGGGGCACAAUUCAGACGACAGUUUGAACCCUUUGCUUGGUUGCAGAUUUUUCUUUUUAAAUCAACAUCAUUGAGGUUCAGUUUAUGCAGCCAUAUGCCCCGGGCUGUUUAUCCAACACUAGCCACUUCUCUGAUAUUCUGACACUGGCUGGGUGACUUCUGACACUAAUUUCCUACAGGCGGACACUCAGAUUCUACAGGCUGAGGGUUCAGUUCUGUAAGACUGGCUCAGCUUCAGACACCAGCGGAAAAUGGGGUCCCCAGGCUUUCUGCACUCCCGUGGGGAGGAUGACACAUCUAGAGGUUCCCCUCCCCCAACGCCUGGGUUUGACAGUUUGCUAGAAUGCCUCCUAGAACUCCAGGAAGCACUGCACCUGUAAUCUAUUAUGUAAGAUACAAAGGAACAGCCAGAAGAAUGUAUACAGGGCAGGGUCCAGAAGGACCCUGAGUGCCAGAGCCUCUGUACCUGUGGAGUAAGAAUGCACCCCCCCCUGCCUCCCGCCAUCUCCCCCCACUGCAUCACCACCACGUUCAGCAACCAGGAAACUUCCUCAAUUUUAUCUGAAUUGGUUUUUGUUUUUUUUUUUUGAAUUUAAUCUCCAAUGCCGCUCCCUUCUUGGGAGGUGGGAUGGGGUGGGGCUGAAUGUUCUAAACUUCUAAUCACCUGAAUGACUUUCUCGGCAAUCCGCGCCCAUCCUGAAGCCAUCCAGACACCCCCCCCCGCCCCGCCCCCGACUCCUCAAGAGCCAACUCAGGAUCGGAAGGGGCUCCUUUCGAAUAACGCAGACCCUCUGAUCACUCAGGGAACCCCAAGGGUUUUAGGAGCUCUGUGUCAGGACUUGGAGACAAAGCCCAGAUGUAUUUCAUACUAUACCCCAGCACCCAUUGAAGUAUCCAGUCUGAUGAAUUCUGACAAAUGCGGGUCUUCAUGUAACCAACACCCUAGGAAGAUUUGAAACAUUUCCAUCACCUGCUCAAGGUCGCUGGUGCCCCCUGGUGGCUCAUUCUCUCCCUCCUUUCUGCCCCAUCCCCAGGCAACCACUACUCCGCUUUCUGACACCAUGGAUUUCCCUUUUUAGAACUUCAUUUAAAUGCAUACAACAACUCUUUACUCUUUUCUUGGUCUGGCUUUUUUCUCUCCUCGCACUGCUUCGGACAUUCAUCCACGUGGGCGCUGGAAUGACUAGUGUGUAACUUUCCAUCGCUGAGUAUGAGAUUGCCAGAGUUUGUGCAUACAUCUGUUGAUAGACAUUUGAGUCAUUUCCAGUUUCUGGCUAUCUAAAGUAAAGCUGCCACGAACAUUUAUGGACAAGUCUAUCUGUACACAAAUGUUUUUUUCCUUGAGUAAAUACCACGGAGGGGUGUUUCGAUUGUAGGGUUUUAAGGACAGAAUACACCUGUCAUUCACCUUUGUGAUGGUGCCUUGAGCCAAGCCGUUCCCCUUUCUUGGUCAGAAAGGGGAACUAAUACUUAAGGAAUGUUUGCUAUGUGCCAGAUACGCUUUAAAGGAUUUUCCAUUGACUGUCUUAUUUAACCCUUCUAGUGACUGUAAAACUUAAGCGUUAUUUUUAUAGAAUUUUAUUUCCAGUGGGGGAAAUAGAGGCUCAGAAAAGUUAGGUGGCCUGCCUAGGAGGCCACCGGCAGGAAGCUGUCGAAAAGAUCCAAACCCUCUGUUUGACUUCAAAGGGCAGGUUUAUUUGUUUCUGCUAUUUUUGGUUCCUCCUCAAAUAGCAAAGGCAGUUAAAUUUGUGAGAGAAUCCUGAAAUUCUCCAGAAAGCCUCUGUGGGAUCAGGAGAGACACUGGGGCCGCCAAAGCAGGUCAGAUCCUGUUGUGAAGAUGCCUAAAGGGGAGCCUGUAAUCCUGGGACACAAACCAUUUUGUUGUAUCAUUUAUGGGUAAAAUUAAGAGCGUCAGAAUUCCUGCUGUGGUAGGUGGGUUAAGGAUCUGGCAUUGCCACAGCUGUGGCACAGGUCAAAGCUCAGAUUCGAU
rnacentral:lncRNA from 1 species